CGCGUGUGCACGCGCGCAGGGGCCCGCCCGCCCCGCCUCGGCAGGUUCCCUGACCCCGGAGCGAGGGCGAGGAGAGGAGCCGGGGGCCGAGGGCGGAGGCCGACAGGUGGGGGCGACUCCCUGUUGCUUCCGCCUCCGGGGCGGAUUCGGUGAGCUCUGCCCGGGGGCGGGCGGCGGGCGGCGGGGACUGUGUGCCCCGCGGAAGCCCCCCUCGGCCGGCGUACCGGGCCCCUGCCGCGCUCCGACCCGAAACUCAUGUUUCUACUGAAGGCCCGGCGGGUGGGAGAGAGAUCGCGAAGGUCAUCAUCACAGAGGCAUGAACAACACCUUUAGCAAGCCUGUAAGGAGCAGGGCUCCUGACCCGGGCAGGAAUGCAAUUGAAUGUGAAUGUUGCCCUGACUGGCUGUGGCAGAGAAGCAGUAUUGGACACGUUUUGAAUUAGCCACAGAUGAUUAGAAACGAGCAUUAGUGAAUGGCGAUAGUGACUAAACUAUCUGGAUUCUGAACUACUUUACUUCAAUACAAUGUUCCAGUUUUUGGUCAAUUAACUCAUUGAUUCUCCACUCAUUAUCCAAAACUAUUCUCUGCCUUCUCUGCCCUGCUCUGUGCCCCCAAAGGCCUAUAGGCAUUAUUAAUGGCUCUUCGCCAAAAGGGGUGCCAGCUGCAGCCUGGAGCCCACAGAGAGAGGCUGGGGUAUUUCUGUCCUGAGCGCAGGGGCCUGGCAGAUCUGUAUGCCUCUGUGAGGACAGUUCUUAUUGGGCUUCCUUUUCCAUUGCAUCAUGUCAGGCUCCAGGUGCUACAGUUCUCUGCCCCAUGCCUCUUAAGCCUGGGGAAGUGAUGUCUGCCUCCCAUUGUUGCUGGUCCCUGGGUAACAACAUCCUUUGAUGGGCUGUUGAACCAUGACUGCACUGCAACAAAUGGCCCCUUCAUCACAUUCUCUUCCAAAUCUCCUCCCAAGAAUGCCUUCUGCUUCCUGCCAGGACCCUAACCGCUAGAGUGGGGUUUUGAGUAGCAUUCUACCUUGCAAACUGACAUUUGGAUGGGGUAGAUUUGUGGAAGAACAGAAGCAGAGAUCAUUUAAGGCUGCUGGGUAAAGGCUGCCUGUCUUUCAGGAGUGUCUGUUUCAUUCCAUGGUAAAUGUUAAUUUCAUGUAGUAGACACCAUGGUUACCAGUGCAGCAACCAUGCCCUUUUUUCUUGCUGGCAGAAACCCACCUUGGUCCAAGUGUCCACUUCCUACAUGGCUAGGGUAAACUGGUUCAUGUAAGCUAAUCUUGGUAACUCCACUUUUCCUGUAAUUAGUUUAAAACAAGUUUAAGCUAAUGAAUCCUGAUGUUGGGAAAAGUUUCCUCACUCUUAAAAAGGCAUAUAAAGAAGAAAUAUUCCUGGAUUCCUGCUGGAUGUUGUCUGUCUGGAUGUGAUGUCUGGCUUUUUGCAGCCUCUUACAUCCAUGACAGGAGGUCACCCGAGGAACUCUGGGGAUGACAGCGUGGAAAGUGGGAAGACCAUGGGUCCUUAAUAAAACCAUUGAACCAUUAACCAAUCCUGCUGUGGCCCUAACACGGGAUUUCAUAUCAUGAAGAUAAGAAAUAUCCUUAUUGA